UUAAUGACAGGGCCACAUGAUGUGAAAAAAAAUCAGAAACCGAGUCAACGUGAGAAGAUAGUACGUACUACCGCAAAUGAAUGGCCAUUUCAUUUGCAUGUUGGGAGCAACAGAAAUGAGAGAGCAUCCGAAGCUAACCACAAAAAUGGACUUUGCUUCAUUAUGCACAAACACGCCAAUAAAUGUAACGAGAAAGAUAGUAGGAGCGAAAGACGAGACGAGACAAACAGGAAGAAGACGAGUGGACGAGUGUUUUUUGUAACGAAACUCUUAAUCGCUCCUUUGCAGGCUUAAGCUGAUAGUUGCUACGUUUAUGCCAUGAAUUUCAAGAUCUCUCAAAUGCGUGAAAAUCCAGUUUAUGCGACAGACAAAUUCAUGUAUUUGAAAAAUCUUAGCUGAUAGAAAUCAAAGGUGAUU
ensembl:ncRNA lncRNA:CR45719 long non-coding RNA:CR45719